UGGGGAAUUUUGGACAAUGGGCGCAAGCCUGAUCCAGCCAUGCCGCGUGCGGGAAGAAGGCCUUCGGGUUGUAAACCGCUUUUGUCAGGGAAGAAAUCUUCUGAGUUAAUACCUCGGGAGGAUGACGGUACCUGAAGAAUAAGCACCGGCUAACUACGUGCCAGCAGCCGCGGUAAUACGUAGGGUGCAAGCGUUAAUCGGAAUUACUGGGCGUAAAGCGUGCGCAGGCGGUUUUGUAAGACAGAGGUGAAAUCCCCGGGCUCAACCUGGGAACUGCCUUUGUGACUGCAAGGCUUGAGUGCGGCAGAGGGGGCAUGGAAUUCCGCGUGUAGCAGUGAAAUUGCGUAGAUAUGCGGAGGAACACCGAUGGCGAAGGCAAUCCCCUGGGCCUGCACUGACGCUCAUGCACGAAAGCGUGGGGAGCAAACAGGAUUAGAUACCCUGGUAGUCCACGCCCUAAACGAUGUCAACUGGUUGUUGGGAAGGUUCCUUCUCAGUAACGUAGCUAACGCGUGAAGUUGNCCGCCUGGGGAGUACGGCCGCAAGG
rnacentral:rRNA from 1 species